UGCCAGCAGCCGCGGUAAUACGUAGGGGGCGAGCGUUGUCCGAAUUUACUGGGCGUAAAGCGCGCGUAGGCGGACCUUUAAGUUGGGGGUGAAAUUCCGAGGCUUAACCUCGGAACUGCCUCCAAAACUGGGGGUCUUGAGGUAUGGAGAGGGAAGUGGAAUUCCUGGUGUAGCGGUGAAAUGCGUAGAUAUCAGGAGGAACACCCGUGGCGAAGGCGGCUUCCUGGCCAUAUCCUGACGCUGAGGUGCGAAAGCUAGGGGAGCGAACGGGAUUAGAUACCCCGGUAGUCCUAGCCGUAAACGAUGGAUACUAGGUGUUAGAGGUAUCGACCCCUCUAGUGCCGCAGCUAACGCAAUAAGUAUCCCGCCUGGGGAGUACGGCCGCAAGGUUGAAACUUAAAGGAAUUGGCGGGGGA
rnacentral:rRNA from 1 species